UUCUUAGAAAUUGAAUUUUGAAAUUGAAAUUCAAUUCGAUGCAGGGUAUCCUUAUAAUCUGGAUUUCGACUAUGGAGCUCUGAGCCAGUUGCAGCAUUUCUCGAUCAACAAUUUCGGCGAUCCGUUUAUUGAGAGCAACUACGGUGUCCAUUCGAGGCAGUUUGAGGUGGAAGUUCUUGAUUGGUUUGCUCGGCUGUGGGAGAUUAAGAAGAAUGAGUACUGGGAUUACAUCACCAAUUGCGGUACGGAAGGAAAUCUGCAUGGAAUUCUAGUUGGGAGAGAAGUGCAUCCGGAUGGGAUUCUGUAUGCUUCCAAGGACUUGGAUUUUGGAAGGCUAAAGUUACAUGAUGUGAAUGUUUUUAUAAAUGUGUUUCUAAGGAAUAGAAGAGGGGAAGAGAGCCAGGUUAGAACACUAUGAAUGAAGAUAAGAUAUGACUAUUGAUUCAUAGAAAAAGGACAAAUUUUUUUGGGUUUUUCUGGAAUUGGGUUAUAUAUGGGAUUGAUUGUUUGGAAAGGGUUAAGAUUACAUGCUGGGAAUGCUUUUUGUGUGGUUUUGAUCAAGGAAGUAUGACGGAAAAGAAGAGAUCCAGGUUUCGAAACUAGAAGCUACAGAAAUGCAGAGGCUGAUGAUGAAAUUGAAACUGAAAUGGAACAAAGGAAGAGAGAGAUUACAAUAAUGGAGGUGAGCUGCAAAUGGAGGAGGAUAAUGUUUAAUUGGAGGGAAGAGAGAAACAAGAUGAACUGUGAAAGGAGCUAGCCAGGGAGUUAUGAACUGCAAGUGUGUUUGAUUAAAGGCGAGGUGCAUCGAGGGUUUAUAUAUACACAAAUCGAGACAUGGCAAAGUCCCAAGGCAGGCUCCAACCGGGGACCUUGAUAAUACAAACAUUCACAGCAUGUAACUUUAGCCUUCCAAAAUUCAAGUUCUUCUAAGAAUUUGAUUGUUUGUAUGAGUGUUCUGCAGUAGCAGAGAUUAUGAGUGUUCUCUACACUU